rnacentral:misc_RNA from 1 species
GAGAGAUUUAACGGGGUAAAGGCCUUUGAGUUCGGGAUCAACCAUCUUGGUCAAAGCAUCAAUGUCAUGAAGCUGAGGUGUUGCCCAUCGAACCAAAGAUUGCUCCAUCCUCGCCCUUGAACUGUCGAAUGGUUUGCGUCCAGUCAGCAGUUCCAACAUGACUACUCCAAAACUGUAAACGUCACUUUGCAGAGUAUAUUGACCGGACAUGGUAACUUCCGGGGCAGCAUAUCCUGAACUUGCACUGCCAUCCAACGCCUGAUCUGC